rnacentral:rRNA from 1 species
AUUGAACGCUGGCGGCAUGCCUUACACAUGCAAGUCGAACGGCAGCGCGGACUUCGGUCUGGCGGCGAGUGGCGAACGGGUGAGUAAUGUAUCGGAACGUACCAUUCAGUGGGGGAUAACGCAGCGAAAGUUGCGCUAAUACCGCAUAUUCUGUGCGCAGGAAAGCAGGGGAUCGCAAGACCUUGCGCUGAUUGAGCGGCCGAUAUCAGAUUAGCUAGUUGGUGAGGUAAAGGCUCACCAAGGCGACGAUCUGUAGCGGGUCUGAGAGGAUGAUCCGCCACACUGGAACUGAGACACGGUCCAGACUCCUACGGGAGGCAGCAGUGGGGAAUUUUGGACAAUGGGCGCAAGCCUGAUCCAGCCAUGCCGCGUGAGUGAAGAAGGCCUUC